rnacentral:rRNA from 1 species
AGUCAAGUAAUUAAGUGCAUGUGGUGGAUGCCUUGGCAGUCAGAGGCGAUGAAAGACGUGAUAGCCUGCGAAAAGCUCCGGGGAGGCGGCAAAUAUCCUUU